AAAAUGGAAGCUGCAAACACCCUAUAAGCAACUCUCCCCUUCGCUGCUUUCGUCUCAAACAACGGAGAAUACCCUUCACUCCCCAUGGAAUGAGAAGUGAAGGAUUGAAGAUUGAUUGAUUGACUGAUGGGUGGUGUCCAAAGACUUGCAUCAACAAGAAGCUAAGGCCAUGGGCAUGUCCGGGCGAUGAAGAGGUGAGCGGCGGCAGGGGCAGAGCAGUGAGCUGAACAAGCCAUGACACAAGGAUGCCUCAGGUAUGAACAACAAAAAUGAUAAAGGAAGAUGAUUGGAUUUGGUUCAGUCCAUUUCUUUAUACAAUUUCUUGUUGGUUUAACUUUUUUCUUCAAGAAAAAAAAAAAUGUUUGAUUUGUCUUUUUCAUAUGUUGAUUUUUAUUCUCUGUUGUUAGUUUUUAUUUAAUUCUCUCAAAUAGAAAAAAUCUUGUGAUUCAUUAGCGUCAAAAUACGGAAAAUUAAUAGUUCGUGGGGUAGAAAUAAUAAUGUGGAUGUACGGUAAGUUACUCCUCGUGAAUGUUGAUUGCUGACAUUGAUAUUGAAGUAAAUGAUUAUUGAAGC